AUGGAACAGAGGAUGCAUACAAAAUGCAAUCAGAAACCUGCCUCUGUGCCUCUUUUUUUCUUCUACAUGACUUCCACCUGCAGGUCGGCCUGGAUACUGCGCUUUGUGGCAAAACCAGCUGGAACAGCACGUAGGUCCUACUUUUCCAGCAGAAGGCUGGAAGAACUGUGGCUUAUUUUGGAGGACCUUACUCUGGCUUUCUAAUAAGAACAAACAGGCAGACUCUGCAGAGAUACUGACAUUCUUCCAUGCCUAUGGCUGAUGUGUAGCAAUAGUUUUCAUUGAAUGGGCUGGAGGUCAGACAAACUAUGAACAGUUAAGAAGUGGAAAGAUUCCUAGAAAGAAAGAAGAAACUCCUCAGCCUGGCCUGAGAAAAGCAGUGAGCUGUGAUUGGGAGAAGCUCUGUGGAAGAGUUUACAAGGACCUGGUCUCACCAGAGAGGGUAAGGCGG
rnacentral:lncRNA from 1 species